rnacentral:rRNA from 1 species
CUGCUGCCUCCCGUAGGAGUCUGGUCCGUGUCUCAGUACCAGUGUGGGGGACCUUCCUCUCAGAACCCCUACGCAUCGUCGGUUAGGUGGGCCGUUACCCCGCCUACUGCCUAAUGCGCCGCAUGCCCAUCCCUGUCCGGCCGAAGCCUUUCCUGCCUCCGGGAUGCCCCGGUGGCAUGUACGCGGGUUUAGCCCGCCUUUCGGCGGGUUGUCCCCCCGACAGGGGCAGGUUGCAUACGUGUUACUCACCCGUGCGCCGGUCGCCGGCGGAGAAAG